UACGGAGGAUCCAAGCGUUAUCCGGAUUCACUGGGUUUAAAGGGUGCGUAGGUGGAAUGACAAGUCAGUGGUGAAAACCCGCAGCUUAACUGUAGAACUGCCAUUGAUACUGUUAUUCUUGAGUACAUUUGAUGUGAGUGGAAUGUGUCGUGUAGCGGUGAAAUGCUUAGAUAUGACACAGAACACCAAUUGCGAAGGCAGCUCACAAAACUGUAACUGACACUGAGGCACGAAAGCAUGGGGAUCAAACAGG
rnacentral:rRNA from 1 species